UUCUUCACAGUCAAGAGAAGCUUUUUAUCCUUUGAUGAAAAGUGAAGCUUUUGUUACUUAGCAGUAAAGUUGAGUUAUGGACAACAGACUGACAGACAUCAAAUCUUGUGACUUGGAAGGAGACUUUCCAUGUGACAAUAAUUGAAAGAAUCAUAUUAUCAGACCUGAAAGCAAUGAGGGGGCAGCUGAUGGAACAAAUUCCUAGCACUUUUCCCUUGUUCCUCAGAAAAGAAAAAGAAGGCAUGCUAGCAUGCACUCAUGCGCGCACACUCUCCUAAGAGGUCCAGUUACUCCUACGUCCAUGGGCACAUAUGUUGACUGCAUCCAAAAGGGUUAUUCAAAUGAAGACCUUUUCUUCUGCUGUUCUGGAACCUCGCAGUUAUGGAGCAGAAGCAAUGGAAAACAAUGUUCAUGAUUGACAAACUAGUUAUUGCAGUAUAAAACAUGGAACUCAGGAAGAGAGGGAUCCAAGUCAUUUUGAGCAUGGAGUGCACCAACUACAGUUCAAAGUAAUGAAGGAAAGCAACAUGGUAUGACAUCAAUAGUCAGAAGUUCCAAGAUUAUGGUCCAGAUUGACUCUCGAAAGGUGACAAAUAUUUCAUCAUCUUGAAUUUUUUUUAAAUA